GGAGGCUGAGGCAGGAGAAUUGCCUGAACCCAGGAGGCGGAGGUGGCAGCGAACUGAGAUUGUACCCUUGCACUCCAGCCUGGGCAUCAGAGCAAGACCCUGUCUCA